AGUGAACGCUGGCGGUAGGCCUAACACAUGCAAGUCGAACGGCAGCACAGUAAGAGCUUGCUCUUACGGGUGGCGAGUGACGGACGGGUGAGGAAUACAUCGGAAUCUACUUUUUCGUGGGGGAUAACGUAGGGAAACUUACGCUAAUACCGCAUACGACCUACGGGUGAAAGCAGGGGAUCUUCGGACCUUGCGCGAUUGAAUGGGCCGAUGUCGGAUUAGCUAGUUGGCGGGGUAAAGGCCCACCAAGGCGACGAUCCGUAGCUGGUCUGAGAGGAUGAUCAGCCACACUGGAACUGAGACACGGUCCAGACUCCUACGGGAGGCAGCAGUGGGGAAUAUUGGACAAAGGGCGCAAGCCUGAUCCAGCCAUACCGCGUGGGUGAAGAAGGCCUUCGGGUUGUAAAGCCCUUUUGUUGGGAAAGAAAAGCAGCAGGUUAAUACCCCGCUGUUCUGACGGUACCCAAAGAAUAAGCACCGGCUAACUUCGUG
rnacentral:rRNA from 1 species